CGACUCCUACGGGGGGCAGCAGUCGGGAAUAUUGCACAAUGGAGGAAACUCUGAUGCAGUGACACCGCGUAUAGGAAGAAGGUUUUCGGAUUGUAAACUAUUGUCGUGAGGGAAGAAAUUGACAGUACCUCAGGAGGAAGCUCCGGCUAACUAUGUGCCAGCAGCCGCGGUAAUACAUAGGGAGCAAGCGUUAUCCAGAUUUAUUGGGUGUAAAGGGUGCGUAGACGGGAAAUUAAGUUAGUUGUGAAAUCCCUCGGCUUAACUGAGGAACUGCACCUAAAACUGAUUUUCUUGAGUACUGGAGA
rnacentral:rRNA from 1 species